AGAGCGAACGCUGGCGGCAUGCUUAACACAUGCAAGUCGCACGGUCAGCAAUGGCAGUGGCGGACGGGUGAGUAACACGUAGGAAUCUAUCCUGGGGUGGGGGACAACAGUGGGAAACUACUGCUAAUACCGCAUGAUACCUGAGGGUCAAAGGCGCAAGUCGCCUUGGGAGGAGCCUGCGUCUGAUUAGCUUGUUGGUGGGGUAAAGGCCUACCAAGGCUACGAUCAGUAGCUGGUCUGAGAGGAUGAUCAGCCACAUUGGGACUGAGACACGGCCCAAACUCCUACGGGAGGCAGCAGUGGGGAAUAUUGGACAAUGGGGGAAACCCUGAUCCAGCAAUGCCGCGUGUGUGAAGAAGGUCUUCGGAUUGUAAAGCACUUUUGGCAGGGACGAUGAUGACGGUACCUGCAGAAUAAGCCCCGGCUAACUUCGCACCAGCAGCCGC
rnacentral:rRNA from 1 species